rnacentral:rRNA from 1 species
UUUUAUGGAGAGUUUGAUCCUGGCUCAGGAUGAACGCUGGCGGCGUGCCUAAUACAUGCAAGUCGAGCGAACGGACGAGAAGCUUGCUUCUCUGAUGUUAGCGGCGGACGGGUGAGUAACACGUGGAUAACCUACCUAUAAGACUGGGAUAACUUCGGGAAACCGGAGCUAAUACCGGAUAAUAUUUUGAACCGCAUGGUUCAAAAGUGAAAGACGGUCUUGCUGUCACUUAUAGAUGGAUCCGCGCUGCAUUAGCUAGUUGGUAAGGUAACGGCUUACCAAGGCAACGAUGCAUAGCCGACCUGAGAGGGUGAUCGGCCACACUGGAACUGAGACACGGUCCAGACUCCUACGGGAGGCAGCAGUAGGGAAUCUUCCGCAAUGGGCGAAAGCCUGACGGAGCAACGCCGCGUGAGUGAUGAAGGUCUUCGGAUCGUAAAACUCUGUUAUUAGGGAAGAACAUAUAUGUAAGUAACUGUGCACAUCUUGACGGUACCUAAUCAGAAAGCCACGGCUAACUACGUGCCAGCAGCCGCGGUAAUACGUAGGUGGCAAGCGUUAUCCGGAAUUAUUGGGCGUAAAGCGCGCGUAGGCGGUUUUUUAAGUCUGAUGUGAAAGCCCACGGCUCAACCGUGGAGGGUCAUUGGAAACUGGAAAACUUGAGUGCAGAAGAGGAAAGUGGAAUUCCAUGUGUAGCGGUGAAAUGCGCAGAGAUAUGGAGGAACACCAGUGGCGAAGGCGACUUUCUGGUCUGUAACUGACGCUGAUGUGCGAAAGCGUGGGGAUCAAACAGGAUUAGAUACCCUGGUAGUCCACGCCGUAAACGAUGAGUGCUAAGUGUUAGGGGGUUUCCGCCCCUUAGUGCUGCAGCUAACGCAUUAAGCACUCCGCCUGGGGAGUACGACCGCAAGGUUGAAACUCAAAGGAAUUGACGGGGACCCGCACAAGCGGUGGAGCAUGUGGUUUAAUUCGAAGCAACGCGAAGAACCUUACCAAAUCUUGACAUCCUUUGACAACUCUAGAGAUAGAGCUUUCCCCUUCGGGGGACAAAGUGACAGGUGGUGCAUGGUUGUCGUCAGCUCGUGUCGUGAGAUGUUGGGUUAAGUCCCGCAACGAGCGCAACCCUUAAGCUUAGUUGCCAUCAUUAAGUUGGGCACUCUAAGUUGACUGCCGGUGACAAACCGGAGGAAGGUGGGGAUGACGUCAAAUCAUCAUGCCCCUUAUGAUUUGGGCUACACACGUGCUACAAUGGACAAUACAAAGGGCAGCGAAACCGCGAGGUCAAGCAAAUCCCAUAAAGUUGUUCUCAGUUCGGAUUGUAGUCUGCAACUCGACUACAUGAAGCUGGAAUCGCUAGUAAUCGUAGAUCAGCAUGCUACGGUGAAUACGUUCCCGGGUCUUGUACACACCGCCCGUCACACCACGAGAGUUUGUAACACCCGAAGCCGGUGGAGUAACCUUUUAGGAGCUAGCCGUCGAAGGUGGGACAAAUGAUUGGGGUGAAGUCGUAACAAGGUAGCCGUAUCGGAAGGUGCGGCUGGAUCACCUCCUUUCUAA